UACGAAGGGGGCUAGCGUUGUUCGGAAUCACUGGGCGUAAAGGGCGCGUAGGCGGCUUUAUAAGUCGGGGGUGAAAGCCUGUGGCUCAACCACAGAAUUGCCUUCGAUACUGUAGAGCUUGAGACCGGAAGAGGUAAGUGGAACUGCGAGUGUAGAGGUGAAAUUCGUAGAUAUUCGCAAGAACACCAGUGGCGAAGGCAGCUCGCUGGGACGGUACUGACGCUGAGGCGCGAAAGCGUGGGGAGCAAACAGG
rnacentral:rRNA from 1 species